rnacentral:rRNA from 1 species
UACGACUACAUAUCAGGCAUAUCAAUAAGCGGAGGAAAAGAAACUAACAAGGAUUCCCUCAGUAACAGCGAGUGAAGCGGGAAGAGCUCAAAUUUGAAAUCUUCAAGGUUCUACCUUGACGAAUUGUAGUUUAAAGAAGUGUUUUCUGUUGAAGUUUUGGUAAAAGUUCUUUGGAAUAGGACAUCAUAGAGGGUGAGAAUCCCGUAUUUGACCAUUAUUUUCCAGCUGUGUGAUACACUUUCAAAGAGUCGGAUUGUUUGGGAGUGCAGUCCAAAAUGGGUGGUAAAUUUCAUCUAAAGCUAAAUAUAGGCGAGAGACCGAUAGCGAACAAGUACCGUGAGGGAAAGAUGAAAAGAACUUUGAAAAGAGAGUUAAACAGUACGUGAAAUUGUCAAAAGGGAAGCGUUUGACACCAGUGUUGUUUUCUCGAAAAUCAAUUAAAAAUAGUUGGAUUUUGUGUUGUAUUGACCUUAACAGCUUGCUUCACUCUUUUCCAGCUUUUUUUAAUGCACUUUUCGUUUAACAAGUCAACAUCAGUUUCUUUUGUUGUAAAAGGGUCAUUGGAAGGUGGCUUUCUCUUCGGAGAAAGUGUUUAUAGCCUUUGAUCUCUGCAAUCGGAGAGACUGAGGUCUGCAGCGUAGAUCCUUCGGGGUUAGAUACAUUUAUGCUAAGUUAUAGCCUUUCAUAGACAACUUGUUGACUAUGAUCAGUCAUGUAGCUUACUCGCUUAUGCUAUUUUACCUACGCUUAGGAUGUUGAGCGCAUGUCUCUCUCU